rnacentral:rRNA from 1 species
UACAGAGGGUGCGAGCGUUGUCCGGAAUCACUGGGCGUAAAGGGCGCGUAGGUGGCCCGACAAGUCAAUGGUGAAAGCUCAACGCUCAACGUCGAGUCGGCCAUCGAUACUGUUGGGCUGGAGCACUGUAGAGGCUCAUGGAAUUCCGGGUGUAGCGGUGGAAUGCGUAGAGAUCCGGAAGAACACCGGUGGCGAAGGCGGUGAGCUGGGCAGUUGCUGACACUGAGGCGCGACAGCGUGGGGAGCAAACAGG